rnacentral:rRNA from 1 species
GGGAUUGCCUUAGUAACGGCGAGUGAAGCGGCAAUAGCUCAAAUUUGAAAGCUGGCGUCUUCGACGUCCGCGUUGUAAUUUGUAGAGGAUGCUUCGGCGAAGACUCCUGCCUAAGUCCCCUGGAACGGGGCGUCAUAGAGGGUGAGAAUCCCGUAUGUGGCGGGCAGUCUAAGCCAUGUGAAGCUCCUUCGACGAGUCGAGUUGUUUGGGAAUGCAGCUCUAAAUGGGAGGUAAAUUUCUUCUAAAGCUAAAUAUUGGCCAGAGACCGAUAGCGCACAAGUAGAGUGAUCGAAAGAUGAAAAGCACUUUGGAAAGAGAGUUAAAAAGUACGUGAAAUUGUUGAAAGGGAAGCGCUUGCAACCAGACUCGCUCGUAGUUGCUCAGCCGGCCUCUUGGCCGGUGUACUCUUCUACGAUCGGGCCAGCAUCAGUUCGGGCGGCAGGAUAAAGGUGUCGGGAAUGUAGCACCCUUCGGGGUGUGUUAUAGCCCGGCGCGGAAUGCUGCCAGCCUGGACUGAGGAUCUCGCUUCGGCAAGGAUGCUGGCGUAAUGGUUGUAAGCGGCCCGUCUUGAAACACGGACCAAGGAGUCUAACAUCUAUGCGAGUGUUUGGGUGUCAAACCCAUGCGCGUAAUGAAAGUGAACGGAGGUGGGAACCCCUCACGGGGUGCACCAUCGACCGAUCCUGAUGUCUUCGGAUGGAUUUGAGUAAGAGCAUAGCUGUUGGGACCCGAAAGAUGGUGAACUAUGCCUGACUAGGGUGAAGCCAGAGGAAACUCUGGUGGAGGCUCGCAGCGGUUCUGACGUGCAAAUCGAUCGUCAAAUUUGGGUAUAGGGGCGAAAG